GUAGCGGCUGAAGCUGCCUUAGAUGUCGCCUUGGCGCUAGUUGCCACCCCCCCACCCCCGCCCUAAUACUCAAGUGCACGCACGCACACACAUACACACACGCUCGCCCACCUUGUCUGGCCCAUCACCCCCAGCCACAGCUGGAGCAGAGGCCCUUAUACGGAAUUUAGGGCACUGCACACAGAAAUUAAAAGAUGGCCUCUGUCAAUAUUUGUAAGGAGGCAAUUCAGACGACUCUCCUCCCCACGUGGGGUAAAAGAAUGAAUAGAUGGAUGGACAGAUGGAUAGACAGCAGGUUCCCAUUCCAGCUGGCUAAUCAGACCAUUCGAAAUCUGCAUUUUGAAAGAAAGGCUGGGAAAAUCACAGAAGGCUGAGGAGUGGAAAGACCAGCCAAACAGCAUGAGUUAAGCUCUAGGAGCCACUGGCCGGGAAACAUCUAACAAGCCUUCAAGAGCUGACUGUGUGUGAACUACCCACCAAUCUCUUGUAAAUUUCAUCCUGACCCUUACUUUCCUUUUUCAACUCCUAUUCCAACAACUUUCAAUAAAAAUGAAGGUUAUUCUGUUACUAUUUUCAGAGCACAUUAAACCUCUAAUUAGAAAUGUGCAUUGCCCGCUUGUGGCUUUAAUUAAAACUAUUGAACCAGUGCCCCUUUGCAGCACAAGUCACUGAUUAUCAGUUUAGAAGCAAGUGAAAGAUCCCAUUUGCCCUCCCUGCGUGGGUCUCUUCCUUUUACAGAGUUUGAUAGCACCUGACAGCCACUGAAAUUUUACUUCUCUGACAAAAUUAUGUGAGAGAGAACUGACAACCUUUUUUUUUUUGACCAGACCUGUAAUUUCUCUUAUCUAGGGAACUUCUAGUUCCUCUGUAACUUAGAUCUUAGCUACCUAAUUCACUAACAGAUUAAGUGAUUUGUUCAAGGUCACAGAGCAAGUAUAGACCUGACUUCAGGUCUUAUCAUCUCUUAAACCAGCUCUAUCCACUCUCAUGCUACCACUUCCCAAGGUAAUAUGAGAAACAACUAAAAUCAGAACAGAAUAUAAUAUAAGGGGGUACCUAGAUGUUUCAUCGGAUAGAGUCUGUAGGUAGUUCUGAGUUCAAAUCUGCCCUCAGACAAGUAAUAUAUCUGUGACCCUGGGCAAGUCACUCAACCCUAUUUGCUUUAAUUCUUCAGCUGUAAAAUGAGCUGGAGAAGGAAAUGGCAAUCCACCCUAGUAUUUUUGGCAAGAAAACUCUAAAUGGUGUCAUGAAGAGUAGAAACUGAGCUGAAACAUCCCAAUAACAACCUCCACCUCCAAAACAUGUGAUUUAAAGAAUGUUAGCAUUGGAAGGAACUCUAUAGUUUGGUCUAGUUCCUAUAUUUUACCAAUCAGGAAACUAAGGUCUAAUAGAGAGAAUGAUUACCUAAAAGCCACAUAAGUGCUUAGAAGAAAAACCAGGAGUAGGGUUUCAUUUGCAUUAUACCACACUAUCUCUGUUGUUGGGUUUUACUCAAUGCUGGAGUGAAAUGACGAAAACUAAAAGAAAUUUAAAGCUUAAAUUGCAUGUUAGAGUCCCAAAAUAAUUUUGAGCAGUGUAAUUUGUUAAAAAUUUAGCCCUUAUAAAAUCAAGCAUUUUAAUUUUGUCUUGGAUUCAGAGAAUAAUUCUUGUUGUUGAUCAGUCAGGUCUGACUCUUCAUGAUCCCUCCUAGGAUUUUCUUGACAAAAAUAUUGGAAUGGUUUGCCAUUUACUUCUUCACAGCUCAUUUUACAGAUGAGGAAACUGAGGCAAAAUGGUUAAAUGAAUUGCCCAGGGUUACAAGGCUAGUAAGGCUGGAGUUGAAUUCAGGAAGAUGAGUCUUCUUGUUUCCAACCCUGAGUGCUCUAUCCAUGGUGCCACCUAGCUGCCCCCAGAGGGUAAUUAAGAACACCUCACUUUUGGAAUCUGACUAACUCAAGGUACUUAAUAGACUUAUAAAAAUAAUCCUUGCAAUAUUUUUCUCCUCUAAUUACAAAGGUGGCUUCUUGAUUCAUGGGCCCUAGAAAAAUACUUGACUAAUGAAUGCAGGAAUGAUUGCUUGUGGGUAGAAUCUCAAAGAAGGUGAGAAAAGAAAAGGGAAAGCUUCUCUCUUCUAUGUUAUGUUAUGGUAUAUUUCAGGUACUUGCAGACUCAGGCUGAUUUUUGGAGGAAAAAAACAAACAAACAAACCUUAUUUAUUUUCCCUAAAAUGAUAUUUUAUCUAUGCCUACCUACCUAUGUCAAGGGUAUUUUGGGGGUAUUGAUAGAGUUUUUAUGUAUAGUAUUGAUUUUUAGGUAUUGAUGCUUGUAUGUCUUGGAGUGGAAUGUUAUUCUCAUUAGUGUUUUACUGUCAAUGACAGUUUUUUCCUGAUAUAAAAAUGCAACAGACCCA